GUAUUAACUUUUAUAUUGUUCAACCAUUCUAAACCAUUUACACAGAGGUUGUGAAAUAGAUGACAUAGACCUGGAAAAAUGCAAAGGGCAAAGCCGACCUCUCAGAUGAAGCACAGCAGUCCCGACUCGGAACAAGUUCCAAAAAAGAAAGCCCCCAGGUCUACAGUUAUGUGCACAGUUGGAGAAAUGAUAAAGAUGACAAGCGUGCACAUGCCCCUUCUGAAAAGAAACCAGCAACAGCCUGUUCAAGUUUAUUUCAAUAAUGAUCCUUCCGCAGGUUCACCUACGGAAA
rnacentral:misc_RNA from 1 species